AAAGUGCAGUUAUAGAAGUAGAAGCUAGCUUUACCAUAUAGCAAAUCUUAUGCUGCUGAAGGUAACGACAGUAGUAAAGCGUAGACAGUGAAACAUUUGAGCUGAAACCAAAUGGUGAACAUAAUAGCUCCGAAAGUAUGAUGUAGUGGAAGCCGAUAUGCUCUACUACAUAGUAGGCAAAAGAAGAUUGGGGGCAAAUUAGUGAAAAUCCAAAAAUUUUCAACCACAUAGGUCG
rfam:Orientia tsutsugamushi str. TT76 ut76.contig.65_1, whole genome shotgun sequence.